rnacentral:misc_RNA from 1 species
AAAUGACCUUUUUCUCUUAUUCUUUUCCUUCCUCCCCUCUUUCCUUUGAACUUUGCCUAUUAGAGAGGAGUGCAGGACAUGUCAUUGCUUCAUUCUUUUAUUAUUUAGCAUAUGCGAUGCAUGAACUGUGACAAACCUACAAAGAUGACCAUUAAGGUGAAUCUAAAUGCCUGUGGUCUGGCCAGAGGGAGGGAGGACAUUUAAGUGCUAUAUUUCACAUACCUACUGGGAAUGGAAUUUAGUAGGUCAUUGGGGCUUGUGAUUGAAUUAUGAUUUCAUCUAUUAAAUUUGUCAAAUUUAAGUUUAAGCGUUGACCUAUUGGAAAGUAUUCUCUUUAGGGAUUUGGUUAGGGGUGUGCAAUCGGUUGGUUUGGUUUCAAACUGACCUGAACUAGCUGAAAAACUGAAAUGUGAAUUAUGUACCAAAGUAUAAAGAAAAUUGAAU